rnacentral:rRNA from 1 species
UGUACGACUCUCAGCAACGGAUAUCUCGACUCUCGCAUCGAUGAAGAACGUAGCGAAAUGCGAUACGUGGUGUGAAUUGCAGAAUCCCGUGAACCAUCGAGUGUUUGAACAAGUUGCUCCCGAGGCCAUCCGGCCAAGGGAACGCCUGCCUGGGCGUCAUGC